rnacentral:lncRNA from 1 species
AUGCAGCCCCAAGCUGGCAGAACCCGCGCCUGCCCGUUCCGGCCCUGCCCUGUCAACAACCUGGAUGCAAGCAGGCCUUACAACCCAGCCGGAGAGGACAGGAAGAGCGAAGAGGAGGACAGCAAUGGGGCCAGAGUGCUCAGCAAGGCGCCCGCAGGGCCCUGCUCAGGGUGCUCCGCAGUCAGGACAGGCAGAGGGAACGAGGGACGGCCGGCCCCUCCACAUUCAGGAGGUAGGGCAGCAGGCGUCCCAGUGGCCCUGGUGGCCUCUUCACGCCUGAGUCCUUCGACCCACGGACGGCUGCUCUGGGGAGACCUUGGGCAGGCCUCUGUGCGGGGCCGGAGCAGAAGAACGGGGCCCCCCGCAGAGCCUGCAGUGCCAGCGGCUGCUGCGGGGAGCGGCCAGGCCGGGGCGCAGCUCUGCGGUGGGAGGGAGCGGGUGGGAGGGCUCCCUGGAGGAGGAGGCCUCAGACAGGAGGGCGGGGCCCCCCUCGGACCCCGGGGCUGGGGGGGAGGAGGGCAAAUGCACGAGGCGGCAAGCGCGCAGAGCCCAGGGGAGAUGUGCUCCUCCGGGCCCGGCCCCGCGGGGUCAGGGCAGCCGCUCGUCCCCAGGCGGCCCCGCGGGCGUCUAACCGCAGGCGACGCCGAUCCGCCAUCCGGAGUCCCCUUUAAAAGUUUGUCCUUAAACAAACCGCUCUCCGCCCGCCGUAGGAAGCGGGGCCGUCCCCGACGAAGCGCUGAGGACAGCGGGCCCCGCGCCCCCCACCCCUUCGGAAACAACAAUGGGCGGCCGGCGACAGAGAACCGGGGACCGAGCGUGGAAACCCCCCGCCCGGCAGUGUCGGCGGCGGCGCGGGCCCGCUGCUGCCCCCGCGCGCCCCUCCGCGGCACUGCGCGCCCGGCCGAGGGCGCCGCGGUUGAUCUCCUGGUUCUCAGACCCUGAGGACGCACGGCGGCGAGGGCGGGAAAGCUUGAGUUGGGGUUCUGAGACUAUUUUCGGUUCAAAGGAAAUUACAUGUCAUUCCUAAAGCCGAAAUCUUAUCGUGGCUUGCACUUUCCCGAAGCAGAAGCACAAUGACUUGUUUUUAUGUGAUCAUCUCAUUCUACCACUAGCUAUGUUCUUUUCUUUUUCUUCCACAUGGAGUCAGAGAUCAUAGCUAAAGAAAUUAUGAAGUGGAUAUUCAGGGGACAAAGACAGUCACGGAGCAAAGAGCUGCGAUUGCUUUUUCCUGGACUCUGAAAUCACUCAGGGCUAGGCCCUGUCUUCAGCAAACAAUUGGCCCUCCUUAUAUUCACAUACAAACUUAGGGCUGUGGGGAGCCUUGGCUCCUGGGCAGAUCCAGUAGGGAGAGGAAGGAAGCACAGAGCAAAGAGCACCUACUGAGUGCCAGGUGCUUGGCUGUGCUCUGCCCUCACUUGAAAUCCACACCUGCCCUAUACUGUGCAUGUUUCCGCCAAUUUUUUGCGGGAGGACACUGAAGGCCCCACACAGGGAGCAGCUUGAGGAAAGCUGCCCAGCCAGCAAGGGGUGGUCUGCAUUCCACCCUGCUCCCAAAUGUACACUGCCUCAGUGAAGCAGCUUGACUCAGGAUUCGUGCUUCAUCUGACUCGACUUUGAGAUACAAGAAGCUCACCUAAAGCCAUGGGGUCUCACAGUGCAUGCGCCACACUUCAAGGGGAAAACUGAAUAAAGGCCUGUAGCCAACCA